UUGGUUGUUGAUGUGGAAGUCUAUUGAGGGAAUAGAUAGAUAGAUAAACACAUAGGGUGACCAGAUACACGUCCGUCUAGAGAAUACCGAAAAUAUAAAAGACAAAAUGUCGGUAAUGCUAACAGCGUGUAAGGAUGCUGUGAAUGGCAAACGAGCGUUAGAACGUGCACUGAAGAAACGUAUGGAAAGGAAGGCGGAGAAACGUCAAGCCAGAUGGGAUGCUCUGGUUGAUAAACUAGGUCACAUACCACCAGAAAGUGAUGCAUCCAAAGUCUGGACGUUUUUAAUGGAAGGUGAACCAUUCAGUAUCGUUUUAUACCGAGAUUCACUUAAUGUGUAUUGUAAUGGCGAAGAGAUCGAAACCUUAAACGAAUUUUGUGAUGAUGGCGCCAUCAUUGAUUUCGCUCUAAAUGGACACAAAGCCAGGAUAAAGACGACUGCCGGAAGUAGCCGGGAUGAAGGGAUGACGUUUGCCUUGACGAUUGACGGUGGAAUUGUUCCUGGUAAAUGAUAACAGAAAAUCUACAGACUUACACCAACUGUUGCCUCGAUACGAAUAUAUCAUAAUAUCUUAAUUUAAAAUUUAUGAAGAGAAGAUGUAAAUUGUUUUUGUUUUUAAAGAAACCAAUAUUUAAAUAUUCUAAUUCACAGUAUUACACUUGUAGGAUACGGCGGCCAUAUUUAUUAAAAACUUCAAGCACUUGAGAUCGUUGUGAUUGGUUACCAUUUGGUACCAUUGGUUAAAACUGAUUACCUUUUUACCACUGGAUACCACUGAUUACCAUUGGAUACCAAUGAUUACGAUACCACUGAUUACCAUUGGUUACCAAUGAUUACCAUUGGAUACCAUUGAUUACCACUGGAUACCAUUGGUUACCAUUGGUUUACAUUUAGAUACCAAGCAAACAUCGGUACCUAGUUUACAUGUUCAAGAAAAAUAACAAUCGGAAUGAUUAUUUUUAAAAUUCCAAACCAUUUGUAAUUAUCUAAACCUAGACGAAUUUAAGGUCGAAUUUGAAUAUCCAAUUUCAUUUUCUGAGAUUCUGAACUCCACCAUGGUUACCAUGGCUUACCAUCUUUUGAAAGUUACCAUACAUUUUAAUGGACGCGUGUUUUUCGUAAAUUUGACCGCCUAGAGUUUAAAUGUUAGAGAGUCGUCUAAUGUGAACGCGAAGAAGCACACGGACAUGAUAUUAUGACGGGAUGAAUAAAUAACUGUUCACUUGUCGACCGCGUUCUCAAUAGAAAGCGAGGAAUGAGAGAAUGAAUUUUGUUUUUAAUUGUGAAUUUAUUGUUAGUUAGGCUUAAUUUAUAGAUAAUUGAAAUCGACCAUUUAUCGUUGAAAUUAUUACGACGAUUGAAAAUCAUGAAACUUUGAUGUAGGCAUAUCAUUGGUGAAGUGUAGGAACGAUAACUGGUCGAUUUUCACAAAUGUUUUGAAAGGGGCUCAAACAUGAAGAGAGUUAAACACUUCUUUU